rnacentral:rRNA from 1 species
AUUGAACGCUGGCGGCAGGCUUAACACAUGCAAGUCGAGCGGAUGACGGGAGCUUGCUCCUUGAUUCAGCGGCGGACGGGUGAGUAAUGCCUAGGAAUCUGCCUGGUAGUGGGGGACAACGUUUCGAAAGGAACGCUAAUACCGCAUACGUCCUACGGGAGAAAGCAGGGGACCUUCGGGCCUUGCGCUAUCAGAUGAGCCUAGGUCGGAUUAGCUAGUUGGUGGGGUAAUGGCUCACCAAGGCGACGAUCCGUAACUGGUCUGAGAGGAUGAUCAGUCACACUGGAACUGAGACACGGUCCAGACUCCUACGGGAGGCAGCAGUGGGGAAUAUUGGACAAUGGGCGAAAGCCUGAUCCAGCCAUGCCGCGUGUGUGAAGAAGGUCUUCGGAUUGUAAAGCACUUUAAGUUGGGAGGAAGGGCGGUAAGUUAAUACCUUGCUGUUUUGACGUUACCGACAGAAUAAGCACCGGCUAACUCUGUGCCAGCCGCCGCCGUAAUAC